AACGAACGCUGGCGGCAGGCCUAACACAUGCAAGUCGAACGCUCCGCAAGGGGAGUGGCAGACGGGUGAGUAACACGUGGGAAUCUUCCUAUUGGUAUGGAAUAGCUCAGGGAAACUUGGGGUAAUACCGUAUAAGCCCGAGAGGGGAAAGAUUUAUCGCCAAUAGAUGAGCCCGCGUCUGAUUAGCUAGUUGAUGAGGUAAUGGCUCACCAAGGCGACGAUCAGUAGCUGGUCUGAGAGGAUGAUCAGCCACACUGGGACUGAGACACGGCCCAGACUCCUACGGGAGGCAGCAGUGGGGAAUAUUGGACAAUGGGCGAAAGCCUGAUCCAGCAAUGCCGCGUGAGUGAUGAAGGCCUUAGGGUUGUAAAGCUCUUUUACCCGGGAUGAUAAUGACAGUACCGGGAGAAUAAGCUCCGGCUAACUCCGUGCCAGCAGCCGCGGUAAU
rnacentral:rRNA from 1 species